rnacentral:rRNA from 1 species
UACAGAGGUCUCAAGCGUUGUUCGGAUUCAUUGGGCGUAAAGGGCGCGUAGGCGGCGGGGUAAGUCGGGUGUGAAAUCUCAGGGCUCAACCCUGAAACUGCACUCGAUACUGCGGUGCUUGAGGACUGGAGAGGAGACUGGAAUUCAUGGUGUAGCAGUGAAAUGCGUAGAGAUCAUGAGGAAGACCAGUGGCGAAGGCGGGUCUCUGGACAGUUCCUGACACUGAGGCACGAAGGCCAGGGGAGCAAACGGG